rnacentral:rRNA from 1 species
CAUGCAAGUCGAACGAAGUCUUCGGACUUAGUGGCGCACGGGUGAGUAACGCGUAGGAAUCUACCUAUUAGUUCGGGAUAACAGCGGGAAACUGCUGCUAAUACCGGAUACGCCCCUCACGGGGGAAAGAAUUUCGCUAAUAGAUGAGCCUGCGUAGCAUUAGCUAGUUGGUAGGGUAAUGGCCUACCAAGGCUACGAUGCUUAGCUGGUCUGAGAGGAUGAUCAGCCACACUGGGACUGAGACACGGCCCAGACUCCUACGGGAGGCAGCAGUGGGGAAUAUUGGGCAAUGGGCGCAAGCCUGACCCAGCCAUGCCGCGUGAGUGAUGACGGCCUUAGGGUUGUAAAGCUCUUUCAGUAGUGACGAUGAUGACAGUAGCUACAGAAGAAGCCCCGGCUAACUUCGUGCCAGCAGCCGCGGUAAUACGAAGGGGGCUAGCGUUGUUCGGAUUUACUGGGCGUAAAGGGCACGCAGGCGGCUUGACAAGUUGGGGGUGAAAUCCCGGGGCUUAACCCCGGAACUGCCUUCAAAACUGUUAGGCUAGAGAUCGAGAGAGGUGAGUGGAAUUCCUAGUGUAGAGGUGAAAUUCGUAGAUAUCANGAGGAACACCGGUGGCGAAGGCGGAUCUCUGGGCCAUUACUGACGCUGA